rnacentral:lncRNA from 1 species
AUUUUAUAUAGAAAUGAAUAUUAGAGUAAACUGAACUUCAUAAUAGAAUUUCUAAGUUUCCUUAUGUUUGAUCAGUGAGUACUGUCGUGUUCACUGGAGAAAGGAUGGAAAUGCCACUGAGAAUAAAACGGCAAUCGAAGGGACGCCGCCAGCCCUCUCCCUCCCCACCUCAUUCCAAUGGCUUCAAAGUGGAAACAAGUUACAAAUUGGAAAAGCCCGUGAAGACCUGAGAAUCGUCUUCUAUGUUUUUGCUACUGAAGGAGCUGAGAAGACCUGUGUGAGCACCGCUCUGAUUGGAGAGGGCGGAAGUGGCCCCAGCCCUAAAUCCCAUUGCAAGGCCAAGUGA